CAGAUUAGAGCCCUCGAAAGUUCAAUCGCAACCUUCCUGCACCUUUCUCCUUCUAUCUCUCUUUCCCUCUCUAUCAAUUUUCAGUUUCCCGUAGACAUAUGGUUCCCCUCUUCCUCUCUAGCAUCCAGAUCUGAAUUUAUACAAUCAUGGACACACUUUAAAGACCCUUUCGAUGCAAUGGCAGACUUCAAGGAAAAGCGAUGGUGCUUCUACUUCAGUGGAUUAGAGUGAAUGGGCAUCUCAGUUGGAGUAGAGAAAUGGGUCUUACUGGAAGGCAAAAUGAAACGACCCGUCAAAAUUGGAUCUUGAACAUCUAUCACUUUUUAGGAGUUUGUGUGAAUUUUGGGUUUUUUUUCCUGGUUUUAUUCUAUGUGGUUUUGUCUGUAUGAUUGGAAAGUUCAAUUUCUGAUGUACUUUCGGGGGGGUUUGACUGUAGCAGCAGGGAAGUGGGGAAGUGGGUGGCUUUCCGGUGGCACCGCCGGCUCAGUAUAACCCAUUAGACGAGCCGAGUCCAUUGGGAUUGAGGCUGAGGAAAAGUCCUUCCCUUUUGGAAUUGAUCCAAAUGAGGCUUUCUCAAGCUAAUUCACCUAAGGGUGCAAGUUCCAGUAAAAAAGAGCUUAAAGGGGCCGCUGCUUCUGGUUCCUCUGAGAAGCUCAAGGCUUCAAAUUUUCCAGCAACUAUUCUGCGAAUUGGGACCUGGGAGGAUUAAUGACUCCUGCUGAUGAAAGAAAGGCCUCUGCAAAAUUGUUGAAAGGAAGGCUGCACAAAGUUAAAGCUGUUCAACUCCAAGAUGGAGAGGAUUGCAUUUGAAAGAGUUCACGCCACUGAUGUGCAAAAAUAUCUGAGGAAUCAACCAUAUCAUCUUCAUCUUUCACGACCACCUAUAAGCCGAAAAAUGAAACUUUUGUUAGGCAUAAUGAAGUAUACAUUCCAGUUUAUAUGACAAUGAAAGGGGUAAAAAAAUCUGUGAACAGGCAUUUUGGGAUCUGAUGAUUGGAAAAAAGGAGACAGAAGCUGGUGGAUUAGGUAAAGGAAGGACGAUCACAUCUCUUGAUUGUUCAUGAUGGUGUUCAUGUCAGUGAUGAUAGGUGAAGAGAAAAUUUAAACUCACAUCCUCAUCUGUGUCCUCUUCUUGGUUGCUAAUGCUACAAGCAGUUCUAUUCAUCUCCAGCUCAUCAUUUUUUGCAAACCUUCCCCUAACACGAGGCCUGCUGUCUGCCAGUGUUUUGCGGCAUGCAUACUGCACAUUGGCUUUCAAUAUUAGUACACCACAUAUUAUUCAGGCAUGAAAUCCAGUAUGCUCCAAAUGAAAGUUGGUGGACAUAUAUAUUUUUGUAGAUGGAGUGUUCGUUAUAUUAGCAGACAAAUGAAUCUUCUACAUAUGGCUGCAUGAAUUAAUAGCAAAGAAGUAAUGGAUACGCAUGUAAUUGAAGAAAUAAAAAAUGGUGGAGGAGAGCAAACAUGACAUGGCUAUGAAGCUCUUACAAGCUACUUCGAUUAUGGACUUCGCCAAUUAAUGCAAACAUGAUACUCAUUGUAUAUCGGCACAUGGUCUAUCUUAGCAUUUGUUAUCCCUAGUAAUUUUGGUUGUACAUAUUAAAGCCCAAUUAGGAUUUGAUUUGAGUAUCUUUGUGCUUUGUACUGUUGAUAGUAUUGGUUGUAAU